rnacentral:rRNA from 1 species
AUUGAACGCUGGCGGCAUGCCUUACACAUGCAAGUCGAACGGUAACAGGUCUUCGGAUGCUGACGAGUGGCGAACGGGUGAGUAAUACAUCGGAACGUGCCCGAGAGUGGGGGAUAACGAAGCGAAAGCUUUGCUAAUACCGCAUACGAUCUCAGGAUGAAAGCAGGGGACCGCAAGGCCUUGCGCUCACGGAGCGGCCGAUGGCAGAUUAGGUAGUUGGUGGGGUAAAGGCUUACCAAGCCUACGAUCUGUAGCUGGUCUGAGAGGACGACCAGCCACACAGGGACUGAGACACGGCCCAGACUCCUACGGGAGGCAGCAGUGGGGAAUUUUGGACAAUGGGCGCAAGCCUGAUCCAGCCAUGCCGCGUGCAGGAUGAAGGCCUUCGGGUUGUAAACUGCUUUUGUACGGAACGAAAAGCUCUGGGUUAAUACCCUGGGGUCAUGACGGUACCGUAAGAAUAAGCACCGGCUAACUACGUGCCAGCAGCCGCGGUAAGAC